rnacentral:rRNA from 1 species
GACGUAGGGCGCGAGCGUUGUCCGGAUUUAUUGGGCGUAAAGAGCUCGUAGGCGGCUUGUUGCGUCGGCUGUGAAAACCCGUGGCUUAACUGCGGGCUUGCAGCUGAUACGGGCGGGCUAGAGUUCGGUAGGGGAGACUGGAAUUCCUGGUGUAGCGGUGAAAUGCGCAGAUAUCAGGAGGAACACCCGUGGCGAAGGCGGUUCUCUGGGACGGUACUGACGCUGAGACGCGAAAGCGUGGGGAGCGAACAGG